GCGCUAGGCAGCGCUGAAAUUGUCUCUCACGUCCUGGCUGGCCUCGACCUCGACUACAACCCAGUUGUCUCAGCUCUUGCAGCGCGGGUUGAACUCGUGACAGUACAGGAGCUUUUUACCAAGCUGCUUAGCUUCGAUG